CCUCUUUUCUCUCUCACUCGUUCAUAGAAAAAAACGGAAGAACAGAAACAAACAACAGCAAUCCACGAUUCACUCUCUCAAUCGCAGCUCUUUCUCGCUCUCGCUACUCUCUGCAGACAACAUCAAUUGAAAACCUCUCGAUUUGCUCUUCUCACGGGUUCUCUCUUCAUUCAGCGAACAACAACAACUUAAGCUCUCACUCGGUUUCCCUUUCGAUCUCUCUUCACUCACUCACGGUGAUCUUCAAUGGAAGAACACGAAAUUCUUCCCCUCAAUCACUCUCUUUGCUCUCGGUUUCUCCAUCACUCUUGCUCGGUGGUGAAUAACAACAACAACAUCACUCUCACUUGGUUUCUCUCGGCGGCCAUGGAAGAACAAGAGGUUGUUUUAAAGAUUAAAUGAUAAUCGGAAGUAAAUUCAAGUGAAUUAAAGCAGGCGUUCAAAUCGGUGCAACACAAAGAACAAACUAACAUAACAAUUUCUAAAAGGAAGUGAGGAAUAAGAACCUGACCGGAGCAAGUCCGGUGAAUUAAUUUCAGCGUCGGCUUCUGACAGUUGGUGACACAGAAUCGCGACGUCGGAAGAAGACGGUUGGUUGCUUCUUUGAUCAGCUUGUUUCAGGUAAUUCCUUUAUUCUGCUUUGAAUGUUCUAAGUCGAAAUUUGGCUGCUACUGCUUUGUUGCUAUGUAACUGUGAAUCGCUCAUUGUUGCAACUGUUAUGAACUUUUUGUUGCUACUGUGUUGAUUUCAUAACUGUUGCAAAUUGUCGUUGUUAUGCUGAAUUUUUGCUUUGAGUUGUCACAAAUUGUUGUUGUUCAACAAAAUAAUUCAAAAGCCUAAAUCAAGAGGGAUCAAAGAGAUAUUUUUAUGACAUAAAGAAUAUCUUUGCAUAUGUCAUAAGAAUAUCCUUAUUCUUAUUCUUGCAAUGAUUAUAACUUGGAAAUCAGGUUCAUUAAUACCAAAUACAUCCCUAAUUUUGCCUAUAAAUAGAAGAGAUCUCCCUCGAAAUUAAUCACACCAAAG